rnacentral:rRNA from 1 species
GACGAACGCUGGCGGCGUGCUUAACACAUGCAAGUCGAACGGAAAGGCCCUGCUUUUGUGGGGUGCUCGAGUGGCGAACGGGUGAGUAACACGUGAGUAACCUGCCCUUGACUUUGGGAUAACUUCAGGAAACUGGGGCUAAUACCGGAUAGGAGCUCCUGCUGCAUGGUGGGGGUUGGAAAGUUUCGGCGGUUGAGGAUGGACUCGCGGCUUAUCAGCUUGUUGGUGGGGUAGUGGCUUACCAAGGCUUUGACGGGUAGCCGGCCUGAGAGGGUGACCGGCCACAUUGGGACUGAGAUACGGCCCAGACUCCUACGGGAGGCAGCAGUGGGGAAUAUUGCGCAAUGGGCGGAAGCCUGAUGCAGCAACGCCGCGUGCGGGAUGACGGCCUUCGGGUUGUAAACCGCUUUCGCCUGUGACGAAGCGUGAGUGACGGUAAUGGGUAAAGAAGCACCGGCUAACUACGUG